rnacentral:rRNA from 1 species
UGAUCCUACGGGGCGCAGCAGUGGGGAAUAUUGCACAAUGGGGGAAACCCUGAUGCAGCAACGCCGCGUGAGUGAUGACGGCCUUCGGGCUGUAAAGCUCUGUCUUCAGGGACGAUAAUGACGGUACCUGAGGAGGAAGCCACGGCUAACUACGUGCCAGCAGCCGCGGUAAUACGUAGGUGGCGAGCGUUGUCCGGAUUUACUGGGCGUAAAGGGAGCGUAGGCGGGCUUUUAAGUGAGAUGUGAAAUACUCGGGCUCAACUUGAGUGCUGCAUUUCAAACUGGCAGGCUAGAGGGGAGGAGAG